GACGAACGCUGGCGGCGUGCCUAAUACAUGCAAGUCGAACGCAGUGGGGACGGGUGAGUAACACGUGGGUAACCUCCCAUCAGAGGGGAUAACACUUGGAAACAGGUGCUAAACCGAUACUGAUGGAUGGACCCGCUGGGCAUUAGCUAGUGGGUGAGGUAACGGCUCACCAAGGCCACGAUCCAUAGCUGGCCUGAGAGGGUGAUCGGCCACACUGGGACUGAGACACGGCCCAGACUCCUACGGGAGGCAGCAGUGGGGAAUAUUCGGAAAUGGGCGAAAGCCUGAUGCAGCCAUGCCGCGUGUAUGAAGAAGGUCUUAGGGUUGUAAAGCACUUUAAGUUGGGAGGCGUUACCAACAGAAGAAGCACCGGCUAACUUCGUGCCAGCAGCCGCGGUAAUAC
rnacentral:rRNA from 1 species